CAGCCCAAACCCUAGCUCAUAUCGACCCCUCCCCGCGUCGCACCCUUCCUCCCUCGUCCCCAUCUCCUCGCCGCCGCCGCCCACACUUCCUCCCUCGUCCCCAUCUCCCGAUUCCUCCUCUGCCGCCCCUCCCUUCCACCACCCUAGGCACUCCACCACCGGGAGGCAACCCUUCCUCCUCACCCCUGCCUCUCAACCCAGACGGCCUCGACCAGAUCUACGGCCUAGCCCUAUCAAGCCGCAACCGUUCGCCGCCGCGGAUCCCGCGAGCCCCGUCCUCUUCUACUCCGUUCCGCGGCUCGGAGGUGCGACUGGACGGAGCUGCAUCUGGCGCCUACGGCAACGACCACGAUGACGGGAUUUCCCAGCCGGCCUUGAAGUGCCCAACCUCAAGAAGCACGGCGGCGGCACACGCAGCUGGAUCCGCCAUGGUGCGCCGUGCAGACGCUCGAGGUCGACAAGGCCACCAUGAUGCGCCGCUGCGAGCUCCCCGCCCGCGACCUCCGCCUCCUCGACCCGCUCUUCGUCUACCCCUCCACCGUCCUCGGCUGUGAGCGCGCCAUCGUCGUCAACCUCGAGCAAAUCCGCUGCAUCAUCACCGCUGACGAGGUGCUCCUCCUCAACUCCUUCAACAGCUACGUCUUCCAGUACGCCGCCGAGCUGCAGCGCCGCCUCCUCCAGUGCGCUGAGGGCGACGAGCUCCCCUUCGAGUUCCGUGCCCUCGAGCUCGCCCUCGAGGCCGCCUGCUCCUUCCUCGACGCCCAGCUACAUCUCUGGGUACAAGAACUGGUUCCAUAACUUCAUCAAGCACCUGCGUGAAAUCGGUGAUGAGGACAGUGGAUUAGUAGCAUGCAUGUGUGACUUAGUUUCUGGUGUGUUUCGCCGGAUCCUAGCGCGCUAACCGCCGCCUCCUGCGCCUGCGCAUAGCCUCACGCUCGUCGUUCGCGCUCCCUACUGCUGUCGCUGAAGCUCUGUUGCUUCCAACUGCCGUUGCUGCUCUCCGCUGCUGCGUAUUGCUCCUGCUCUACGUUCAUCCUUCACCUGGGAGGCCACUUGAAGGAUUAUAACAGCAUGACAUAUCAAAGCUUUCUUGUCAAAUAAGAACUCAACUCACUGGAUGCAGGGAAGGAGAUGGAGGGUGACACACAGCCAUGGAGAGGAGCAACAGUAGCUCAAGAUAUUUUGAGUAAAUUCAAGACGAAAGAUGUUCAAAGAAGCUCCAAGACAUUCUUAUAUAGCAAGUUAUGUAAUAAUAGCUGGGUUAUCUGGGAAUUUAAUGUAUCUUCUCUCUGUUUGUGAAUGAAAUAGUAAUUAUGUAUGUGAAUUAAUGUAUCUUCUCUCUGUUUGUGAA